rnacentral:rRNA from 1 species
UACGUAGGGGGCUAGCGUUGUCCGGAUUUAUUGGGCGUAAAGAGCGUGUAGGCGGCCAGAUAGGUCUGCUGUGAAAACUCGAGGCUCAACCUCGAGAUGUCGGCGGAAACCAUUUGGCUAGAGUCCGGAAGAGGAAAAGUGGAAUUCCUGGUGUAGCGGUGAAAUGCGCAGAUAUCAGGAAGAACACCCGUGGCGAAGGCGGCUUUCUGGGACGGUACUGACGCUGAGACGCGAAAGCCAGGGGAGCAAACGGG